rnacentral:rRNA from 1 species
GAAUCUUGCGCAAUGGGCGAAAGCCUGACGCAGCCAUGCCGCGUGAAUGAGGAAGGUCUUAGGAUUGUAAAAUUCUUUCACCGGGGACGAUAAUGACUGUACCCGGAGAAGAAGCCCCGGCUAACUUCGUGCCAGCAGCCGCGGUAAUACGAAGGGGGCUAGCGUGGCUCGGAAUUACUGGGCGUAAAGGGCGCGUAGGCGGACAUUUAAGUCAGGGGUGAAAUCCCAGAGCUCAACUCUGGAACUGCCUUUGAUACUGGGUGUCUUGAGUGUGAGAGAGGUAUGUGGAACUCCGAGUGUAGAGGUGAAAUUCGUAGAUAUUCGGAAGAACACCAGUGGCGAAGGCGACAUACUGGCUCAUUACUGACGCUGAGGCGCGAAAGCGUGGGGAGCAAACA